GCAAACUUGGUCAUUUAGAGGAAGUAAAAGUCGUAACAAGGUUUCCGUAGGUGAACCUGCGGAAGGAUCAUUACUGAGGUACGCUUUGUGUCGCGUAAGCGCACUAGUUACCCGCCCUUGUGUCAUUAGUGCUGGAUCAGCUCUGCCUUUAGGGGGAGAGUUUGGCCAGGAAUAUCAUUUCGGUCGAAGUGUUACGCCAGGUGUUUGCUCAUGCGAACUGGGUGUGACCGCGGCCGGUAAUAUUUUACACACUUGCGAAAGGAUGAAGUCUGAAGUUAAAUGUUAAUAAAGCAAAACUUUCAACAACGGAUCUCUUGGCUCUGGCAUCGAUGAAGAACGCAGC
rnacentral:misc_RNA from 1 species